GCCGGAUGUGGUGGUAUGUGCCUGUAGUCCCGGCUACUUGGGAGGCUGAGACAGGAGAGGAGGAUUGCUUGAGUCCAGGAGUUCUGGGCUGUAGUGUGCUAUGCUGAUUGGGUGUCUGCACUAAGUUUGGUAUCAAUAUGGUGAGCUCCUGACCUGCUGAUCAGUAGUGGGAUUGUGCUAGUGAAUAGUCACUGCAUUCUAGCCUGGGCAACAUAGUAAGACCCUGACUUAA
rnacentral:SRP_RNA from 1 species